rnacentral:misc_RNA from 1 species
GAAAAGCGUUAGGGAUUGAGCGUUAUGUUUGAGCUCUUUUUAUUUUAAAUAAAAUAAAAAAGCGAGUAGCGAAAGCCCGACCCGAU